UACGGAAGGCAGCAGUGGGGAAUAUUGCACAAUGGGCGAAAGCCUGAUGCAGCUAUGCCGCGUGUAUGAAGAAGGCCUUAGGGUUGUAAAGUACUUUUCAUCGGGGAGGAAAAAACAAAACUAAUAAUUUUAUUUCUUGACGUUACCCGAAAAAGAAGCACCGGCUAACUCCGUGCCAGCAGCCGCGGUAAUACGGAGGGUGCUAGCGUUAAUCAGAAUUACUGGGCGUAAAGAGCACGUAGGUGGUUUUUUUAAGUCAGAUGUGAAAUCCCUGGGCUUAACCUGGAACUGCAUUUUGAAACUGAAAUACUAGAGUAUCGUAGAGGGAGGUAGAAUUCUAGGUGUAGCGGUGAAAUGCGUAGAUAUCUGGAGGAAUACCUGUGGCGAAAGCGGCCUCCUAAACGAAUACUGACACUGAGGGUGCGAAAGCGUGGGGAGCAAAACAGGGAUUAGAUACC
rnacentral:rRNA from 1 species